CAUAAGUGCUGGAACGCCUUUUGACUGAAAGCUUCGGCGCCUAAGGAUGAGUCUGCGGCCCAUCAGGUUGUAGUAGGUGUAACGUACCUACUAGCCAGCAACGGGUACGGGUCGUGAGAGCGAUUGCCCGGAGAUGGAUUCUGAGACAUGAAUCCAGGCCCUACGGGGCGCAGCAGGCGCGAAAACUUCGCAAUGUGGGAAACCACGGCGAGGGAACUCCAAGUGCCAGCACAUUGUGUUGGCUUUUCCUAUACCUAAAAAGUAUAGGGAAUAAGGGCUGGGUAAGACGGGUGCCAGCCGCCGCGGUAAUACCCGCAGCCCAAGUGGUGAUCGCUAUUAUUGGGCUUAAAACGUUCGUAGCCGGUUCGGUAAAUCUCUGGGUAAAUUGACUGGCUUAACCAGUCAAAUUCCGGAGAGACUGCCGAACUUGGGACCGGGAGAGGGUGGAGGUACUUCAGGGGGAGGGGUGAAAUCCUUUAAUCCUUGAAGGACCACCAGUGGCGAAGGCGUCCACCUAGAACGGCUCCGACGGUAAGGAACGAAACCCUGGGGCGCAAACGGGAUUAGAUACCCCGGUAGUCCAGGGCGUAAACGCUGUGGGCUUGGUGUUGGGUGUCCUACGAGGGCAUUCAGUGCCGAAGAGAA
rnacentral:rRNA from 1 species